CCCUAGCCCUGAUAGCAAUGGAAAUCCUUUUUGCAUAGAUGCUUCGACAAGCUCAGCAUGACAUUCUUGCAAAAAGAUUGCAACGGAUAGCAGGAUUAGCU
rnacentral:sRNA from 1 species